AGGCAGCAAUUUAGAGUGAUGAGCUCUGAGAAAAGGAGUUCUUUCAAGGUCUCCAACUGUGCAUGCAAAAGGAGUUAGGAUGUUCCUCUGUAAAAUGAGCGUUCUCUGACUUACUUACCUCUGCUUGUACUAUGUUAUCCUGCCUGAGUGCACAGAGAACCAUGCUGUGUAAACUCCCAGGGUAUAAAAUAGCACCAGAAAUGAGAUUCCAGUCAGUGCAAAUAUUUUACAGAUAGUGGCUGUAGCUAUGGCUGAAACCAAGUGAAAUUGUUGUCCUGCCUGGAAUUAUGAAGGUUGGGAGAGUUGACUUUUCCUAGGGUUAAUAUAGGGGUGAAGGACAAGAUCUGGAUGUGAUCGUAAAGCAGAUAAAAAAAAUUUGUAUUAAAAUAGCACUAUUAUUAAAUGUAUAUCAAUUUGCAAAGAAGGGAGCACUGCAUGCAGUGUUUUACCUUACGUUAGUAUCUGCUUGCCAUUAGAUAUGAUUCAUGUCUUCUCUGGGACAAAAGAAUAACAGUUGAUAUGUUGACCAGAGUGCCUUCGUACUCAUCUAGAUGUGCCCACCAAGAGACAGACAACCUAUGGUGCUAUCUCAGAGAUAACAAUGGCACUCAACAACUGGACAGAAGCUUUAUAACAACCGGCAGCCAAGAGAGCAGAGAAUAUGUAAGCGGUGUGACUGGAGUUUCAAACUAAAGACUGAGGUCUCCAGAUGCUCUACCAGAGGAACGAUUGUUUAGUGCAGGGAGUGACUGAAUCCUGGGGGUUUUGAGCCAGCCAAGUUUUUGCAGACCUGGCUUGUGUCCUGGCUAUACAAGAUUUCAGGCUGCUCUGCAGCUGCUGAAGGAGUUGCUGUGAGACCUAAAGGAGCACACAGAAGAAUCCUUGUUUAGGAGGAGUCUGGGUUGAACGACAAACAGGCAUGCCCUGGGAAAUAUCGAGAAGUGACCGUGCUCCACAGACAUGGUGACAAACUGAAACGUUUUGUUUCCACUUCUCAAAAUAAAGUGUCUUUUAACAGUCCCCAGAUGACUCUAAAAGUUACAGGAAGUUUCUAGAAGCUUUAAUUCUAUUCUGGAGUGGAAAAAAAACAACAAAACUUUGAAUUAAUGGGAACGAACCUAUUUCACCCCAUCCUUCAUCACUGAGGUAUAGUUCUGCAUGGGCACCUUGGGUGACCAUCUUUCACUUUCCUGAAGAGAGGCUUGUAAUACAGGCCUUGAGGAGGCUUGCAAACCAGGAAAGAUACAAUCUGUUAAUCACUGUUGCCUAGUUCCAUUCUUGUGCCAUGUUAGAUCCAAACAGUGAGUUGUCAGAAGGGUAAGAAUCAAUUUUAAGCACUAAAAUACAUCAAACUCUGUAGUCCCCUAAAUUGUUCCAAUACAGAUGAACUUUUUUUUUUUUUUUUUUAAAGCAGCUGUCAAGUGCUCCGCAAGGAAGAUAAAUCUAGUUUUCUGUGUGUUUUGAUCAGUACAUCUGCAAGACUAGCAUCUGCUGUCACAUUUUUGUACUUGAAUGGUAUUUUUCAGUCAGGUCACAGGAUUAUUUUUAAAUAGAAAAUGAUAGUUCAAAUUACAUGAUAACCAAGGGAAAUACAUAUAAAAAUUGACACUUUUUCAUAUUUUGUUUAUAUUUUGAAAAGUGAGAAGGGGGAAGAAAUCUUAUGUUUGUAUUACAAACUUCUUAACUACAUGUUAUGGCAGGCAUGCCCUCCCCCAGGUUUUCACAUAGCUUUUAAUAUUUUUGUUGUUAAGAAAAUCUUUACCAAGUAUGACCAUUUAGGAGCCGUCUGGAACAAAUUGCAACUGCAGUAAAAAGAAAUCUGAAAAUAGAUGUUUUCUGAGUAAAACUACUCAGGGCACAGGAAAGAGGGAAAGACACAAAGUCACAGUUGUGCUCUGCCAUUUGAGACUACAUCCAGCUCGGACUGUUUGCAACGUGCAUGGCUGAACACAAAAACAAGAGGAAUUGCACAUCAACCUUACUGAGCAAACAUCAGGCUCCAAGUCAAAGUUAGUUUCUAGGCUCCCUCUACAGUCAAUGGAGAAAAAUAGUUACCUCUGGAGGGCAGGUUCCUCUGCUUUUCUUGGUCAUGUACUUCACAGGUUUCCAGAUGACUGGAUAUGAAUUUGUGAACAAUGAAGUGAAUGGUCUGUGUAUUUGAGUACUUAAUAAAUGUA